UACCAUGAUAAAACAAUGAAA
rnacentral:piRNA from 1 species